rnacentral:rRNA from 1 species
AUUGAACGCUGGCGGCGUGCCUAACACAUGCAAGUCGCACGCGAAAGGGGGCAACCCCAAGGAGAGUGGCGGACGGGCGAGUAACGCGGAGGAAUCUACCUAGUAGUGGGGGACAACCCGGCGAAAGCCGGGCUAAUACCCCAUACGACCUAAGGGUGAAACCAGGGGAUCGCAAGACCUUGCGCUAUUAGAUGAGCCGGCGUCCGAUUAGCUAGUUGGGGAGGUAACGGCUCACCAAGGCGACGAUCGGUAACUGGUUUGAGAGAACGACCAGUCACAUUGGGACUGAGACACGGCCCAAACUCCUACGGAAGGCAGCAGUGGGGAAUAUUGGACAAUGGGGGCAACCCUGAUCCAGCGACGCCGCGUGUGUGAAGAAGGCCUUCGGGUUGUAAAGCACUUUCGGCAGGGACAAACAAGACGGAUCUAACAUCUCCGUUCCUGAUGGUAACUGAAGAAGAAGCACCGGCUAACUCUGUGCCAGCCGCCGCAGUAA